GACGAACGCUGGCGGCGUGCCUAAUACAUGCCAGUAGAACGCUGAAGGAGGAGCUUGCUUCUCUGGAUGAGUUGCGAACGGGUGAGUAACGCGUAGGUAACCUGCCUGGUAGCGGGGGAUAACUAUUGGAAACGAUAGCUAAUACCGCAUACAGUAGAUAUCGCAUGAUAUCUACUUGAAAGGUGCAAUUGCAUCACUACCAGAUGGACCUGCGUUGUAUUAGCUAGUUGGUGAGGUAACGGCUCACCAAGGCGACGAUACAUAGCCGACCUGAGAGGGUGAUCGGCCACACUGGGACUGAGACACGGCCCAGACUCCUACGGGAGGCAGCAGUAGGGAAUCUUCGGCAAUGGACGGAAGUCUGACCGAGCAACGCCGCGUGAGUGAAGAAGGUUUUCGGAUCGUAAAGCUCUGUUGUAAGAGAAGAACGAGUGUGAGAGUGGAAAGUUCACACUGUGACGGUAUCUUACCAGAAAGGGACGGCUAACUACGUG
rnacentral:rRNA from 1 species